AUGGAGAGAGUGGCCUACUGCGUGGCCAAGGCCGGCGGCUCCUUGGACCUGCGGCGCUUCCUGACGCAACCGCAGGUGGCCGCGCGCGCCCUGUGCAGGAUCUUUGCCUUGAUCGUGUUCUCCUGCAUCUAUGGCGAGGGCUACAGCAAGUCUAAGCAGAUGUACUGCGUAUUCAACCACAACGAGGACGCCUGCCGCUACGGCAGUGCCAUCAGGGUGCUGGCCUUCGAGGCCUCGGCCUUCUUUGUGGCCAACGCGUAUUUCCCCCAGAUCAGCAACGCCACUGACCGCAAGUACCUGGUCAUUGGUGACCUGCUCUUCUCAGCUCUCUGAACCUUCCUGCGGUUUGUUGAUUUCUGCUUCCUUACUAACCAGUGGGUGGCCACCCAACCAGAGGACAUGCCGCUGGGGGCCAACUCCACGUGGACAGCCAUCACUUUCAGCUUCUUUUCCAUCUUCUCCUGGGGCGUGCUGGCCUUCCUGGCCUAUCAGCGCUGCAAGGCUGGCGUGGACGACUUCAUCCAGAACUACAUCGACUCCAUCCCAGACCUCAACACUGCCUACGCCUCCUGCCCAGGUGCAUCUGUGGACAACUACCAGCAGCUGCCCUUCACCCAGAAUGCGGAGACCACCGAGGGCUACCAGCUGCCCCUGUGUACUGAGUGACAUUCGGGGUGGGAAGGGGGGCAGAGAGGACCCUACCCUCUGCCCUGGACUUUCCCACGAGCCUCCUGGAACUGCCAGGCCCCCUCCUUCACCUGUCCCAUCCUGUGCAACUCACACACAGCUAAGGAGCCUCCCAGCCUGGGGGGCUGGCAGAGCCACACCUCAAGUGCCUGCACCCAGAGGGCUUUAGUCAGACACACUCUUCCAGGGCACUUUUAGGAAAGGGUGUUUAGCUAGUGUUUCUCCUUGCUUUUAAUGACCCCGGCCCCUCCUGGAGUGGCUAGAAGCCAGCAGGCACCCAUGUGCUACUGACAAGUGCCUCUGCUUCCCCCCAGCCCAGGUCAGGCUGUGGCAGCCGCUGUUUUCUGCCAAAGACGCGGGGGAGCCCUCACACCUGCCCUGUGCAGUGGGGCAGAACCAGGCUCCUGUGUCUUCACUCA